GACGAACGCUGGCGGCGUGCUUAACACAUGCAAGUCGAACGGAAAGGCCCUGCUUUUGUGGGGUGCUCGAGUGGCGAACGGGUGAGUAACACGUGAGUAACCUGCCCUUGACUUUGGGAUAACUUCAGGAAACUGGGGCUAAUACCGGAUAGGAGCUCCUGCUGCAUGGUGGGGGUUGGAAAGUUUCGGCGGUUGGGGAUGGACUCGCGGCUUAUCAGCUUGUUGGUUGGGUAGUGGCUUACCAAGGCUUUGACGGGUAGCCGGCCUGAGAGGGUGACCGGCAACAAUGGGACUGAGAGACGGACCAGACUGCAACGGGAGGCAGCAGUGGGGAAUAUUGCACAAUGGGCGGAAGCCUGAUGCAGCAACGCGGCGUGCGGGAUGACGGCCUUCGGGUUGUAAACCGCUUUCGCCUGUGACGAAGCGGGAGUGACGGUAAUGGGUAAAGAAGCACCGGCUAACUACGUG
rnacentral:rRNA from 1 species